ensembl:lncRNA MSANTD2-AS1 MSANTD2 antisense RNA 1
GGGGCUGCCCUCGGGCCUGGCUCGCCCGCGGGCGGAUGGCUCCGGGUCUCUGCUGCUGAGGAUGUGGCUGCCGGGCGGAGGUCGUCCACUCCCCUGGGCCUUUCUCCGCGAGCCCUCCCACGCCGCCCGCUCCUCUCCCGGGGCGAAGGGCGGGGACGAGGCGCGCCGAAGCCCCGAGCUGAAGAGAAGGGUGGGGGCAUGAGGGCGCUGGAGUGAGGAACAGAUUGGAGCCUUCCCACUUCCUCUCCAAUCUCAGCCCCCGGGAGGAGGGAAAGAUGCAGUCUAGCACCUCAGUUAAGAAUAUGGACUCUAAAGUCAGACUGCCAGGCUUCAAAUUCCAGUUCUGCGACCUCAGCAAAGUUACUUAACCAAGCUCUCAGUGCCUUGUUUUCUUCAUCUGUAAAAUGAGGAUGACGUCACAGCAUUGUUGAGAGAAUUAAUACAGGCUCCAGACUUGUGAAUGGAGAAGUGUUGAGGUGACCCCAGCUCCAGCCACCAGCUGACGACAACCAUACCGGAGAUCCUGAGAGCUGCCUAGCUGACCCCAGGCACCCCCCAGACUUAUUCAGCACUUAGAAGAAUGCCAGGCAGGCUUUCCCCACCAACCAAGAUGGAAUAACAGGGAAAAGACAUACCCUUCUAUCUUCAAUAAUUGGAAACCCAGACAAAGUUUAUGAAACGCUGGUUUUCAAGACAUAGGACAUCAGACAAUCAAGGACAGUAAACACUGAGAUGGGAAACAAACAAGGAAGCCAUGAAAACUUCAAAACUGCUUCACCACCUGGAGACCAAGCACCCUGCAUUAAAAGACAAGCCUUUGGAGUUUUUCUAAAGAAAAAACAUGAACACAGAGAACAGAAGUAAUUAUUGAAGGCCACUACUUCAUUAAGUGUGUCUGUACUGAGAGCAUCGUUCCUAGUGGCUAACCACGUUAUUAGGCUAAGAAGCCCUUUAGUAUUGGUGAAGAGUUGAUCCUGCCUGCUGCUAAGGACAUUUGUCAUGAACUUUUAGGAGAGGCUGCUGUUCAAAAGGUGGCACAUGUUCCUCUUUCAGCUAACACCAUAACUAGAAGAAUGGAUGAAAUAGCAGAGAAUAUUGAGGCACAAUUGUUAGAGAGGAUUAAUGAGUCACCGUGCUACACAAUCCACAAAAGGGUUUUGUCCCAGAAAUAGACUCAUACAUAUAUGAUCAGUGAUUUUCAACAGUGGUACAAAUGCAAGUCAGCGCAGAAAAAAUAAUCUCUUCAACAAAUGGUGCAGGAACAAUUGGAUAUCCAUAAAAUGAACUCGGAUCCACGCUUUGCACCAUAUGCAAAAAUUGACUCAAAAUAGGUAUAGGUCCUAGACCUAAAUGUAACAACCUGAAACUCUAAAAUUUCUCAGGAAAAAAAUGGGAUAAAAUCUUUGUGGUCUUGGAUUAGGCAAAGAUAUUUUCUUGUGUUUGUGGGUAAAGAAACCUUUAAUGAGGGUUCAAGGUGUAAGAGGAGGACCUUGUAGAGAGCCAGCGCUUAGCCCCAGCCUCCUCAUAUGCACAUGGCUCUGUAGAGGUUCUCCAGACAGUGCUGCUGCUGCUGUUUCGAGCCUUAUCUCCUCUGUGCUCCUCACAAGUGUCGUUAACAGCGGGCAGCUCCUGGCAGCACAAGGGACAGGGAUUUGUCUUGCUUAGCCGGGGCAAAAUGCAGUUAGAAUGGAAAAGCUAAUGGCAAGGCAUCCCAACAACAGCCUCCUCCUCCUCAAGCACAUGGGGCACUUGUGUGUGCCUCUCAGCCUGAGAGCUCCUGAUGACUGUCCUGGGGAGGUUCCCAACCACACUGUCUUGGCAGCUGGUGGAGGCAGGUGGUGAUUCCAAUUUACUGCCAUCCCCGAGUCUUCAAAAUCCAUCCUAUUGAAAAGUGAUCUGGUGAGCUCCAGCAGCAUGUGGGUUAGGGUCUCCUGCUUGGGGUUCAAGAGCUUGCAGUCCUGUUCAUUGAAAUAGGCUGUCAUGGCUGCUCAGCUCUCUGACAUAUCUCUCAGACUGGCAAAGAUAUUAGGUCUGAUACCAAAAGUACAAUCCAUAGAAGAAAAAGGAUGGAUACAUUGGACUUCAUUAAAAUUAAGAAUGUUUUCUCCUUGAAAAAUAAUGUUAAGAGAAUAAGAAGAUAAGCCACAAACUUGGAAAAAAAGUAAUUGUAAAUUACAUAUCUGAUAAAGUACUUGUACCCAAAAUAUGCACAAGAAUCUCAAAACUCAAUAAUAAGAAAACAAUCCAAUUUAAGAAAUUAUUUUAACAUACAUUUUACAAAAGAGGAUAUAUAGAUAGCAAAUAAGCCCACAAAAAGAUAUUGAAUAUUAUUGACCAUUGGGAAAAUGCAAAUUAAAACAAAAUGAGAUACCAUUACACACCUAUUAGAAUGUCUAAUAUUGAGAAGACUAAUCAUACUAACUGAUGAGGAUUUGGAGCAACUGGAACUCUCAAACCCUGCUGAUAGAUAAAUGCACAACCACUUUGGAACAGUUUGGUAGUUUUUUAAAAAGUUAAACAUACAUCUGCCUUAUGCCCCAGCCAUACAAUUUUUAGACAUUUCUCAAGGAAAAUGAAAGCAUAUGUUCAUUCAGAGAUACACAUGCAUAUUCAUUGCAGCUUUAUUUGUAACAGCCAAAAACUGGAAACAGCCCAAAUGUCCAGCAACAAAAGAAUGGAUAAACAAAUUGUGGUAUAUUUACUACCUAGCAGUUGAAAGAAAUAAACCUCUGACACACACAAGCUGGAUUAAAAAAGAAGAGGAAAUGAAUUAUUGAUACAUAUAAUAAAGAUUACUCUCAAAAUAAUUAUGGUAAGUCAAAGAAGUCAGACCAUGCUCCCUAAGAGUAUAUACUUCAUGAUUCAAUUUCUGUACAAUUCUAUAAAAUGCAAAUUAAUAUAUGAUAACAAAAAGUGAUUGCCUGGAAAUGGUGAGAGGACAGAGGGGCCAGAAUCAGCCAGGAUUACAAAGAUGCACAAGGAAACUUUUGAGGGUGGUGGAUAUCUUGAGUGUGGUGAUAGUUUUACAGUUGUAUGCCUAUGUUAGAAGCUAUCAAAUUGUACACUUUAAGUAUGUACACUUUGUUGUAUAUUAAUUAUGCCUUAAUAAAGUUAUUAUAAAAAGUAGUUCCAGGCAAUACUAGACACUCAAUAAACAUUUGUAAACUAGUCGUUGACUUUCUUGGACUGUGACUUGUUAGCAGUUAGGGAUUGAUUAUUCUGUACAUGUUUAUGUAAUACCUGGCAAAAUACCAUGCUGGAGUAAGUGC